UACGUAGGGUCCGAGCGUUGUCCGGAAUUAUUGGGCGUAAAGAGCUCGUAGGCGGUUUGUCGCGUCGGCUGUGAAAGCCCGGAGCUCAACUCCGGGUCUGCAGUCGAUACGGGCAGACUUGAGUGUUGCAGGGGAGACUGGAAUUCCUGGUGUAGCGGUGAAAUGCGCAGAUAUCAGGAGGAACACCAAUGGCGAAGGCAGAUCUCUGGGCCGUAACUGACGCUGAGGAGCGAAAGCAUGGGGAGCGAACAGG
rnacentral:rRNA from 1 species